GGCCAGGUUACCGUGGGGACCAUUUCCUGGGCUCCCCCUGAGGCCUAGAGCCCAGGCCUGGUGCCUCACAGUGGGGAGCAAAGCUCUCCUCAGGAUCCUUCCCUAGAGGGGUCUGGCCGGGAGCUCAGGGCCGCUCGCCAGGGAGGCGGUCCCUGCAUGUGGCAGUGGGGAGUCCGGAAGCCACGUGUGGGGAAUCCAGGAGCAGGGUUUGACUCUGGGUGACUGGGGCUCAGUCUGGCUGAGAAACAGACCAGAGGACACCAGGAACCACUCACCAGAGAGGAGUGUAGGAAUGGAGGCUGAGGGAGGAGGAGACCAAAUACAACACAGAACACUUUAAAAGCUCCCUCCUUACAGUGGAGUUGCCCAGGCUGAGCUCAGACCUGGAAUCGUCCUGCCUCAGCCUCCCAGAGUACAGGGAUUACAGACAGGAACCACUACACUCAGCUGCAAGUCUUUAUGAUGGACAAGAAGCCGGCUGUGUUUUGCCCAAGGGGAGGCUCCCUGCCUUCCUAGGUGGUUUCACAGAUAGCCUGGAAAGGAAAGUCCAGGACAAAGGGCCAUUCAUUGUAUGUCACCUGCAAGGUGUGCAGAAACACAAAACUCAUGGAGCCAGCACCCAAACUGAGGAGCAAACAGGAAAGGUGGAGAUCAGCGCCCAAGCCCAGGAUUCCAGCCGCCUCUCAGUCCUGCCAGCCACGGAGCCACGGGAUCCCAGGAGCAGACCCGCGGGUGCAGUAACGCAGUGCGGCCGCGCGGGGGCAGCAGACACCGAGGCGAGGCGGUGUGAAGUUUUUAUCGAGUUUUGUUCUCGGCCCGAGAGAACACGGUGUCCCCGUGACAGCAAAGCGGGGUCCAUCCGAGGGGCGCCCCUAUGCAGGUCCCAUGCUUGGGUUGCUGAAGGUGGGACUACCGAGAAACGAUGACUGCCCUUUAGUUCCUGCUCCAGUAUUAAAACUUCAUUUUAUUUCUUUGUCUUUGUUUUGUUUUCCUUUUUAUUAGUAUUUGUGAUAUAUAAUCAACAC
rnacentral:lncRNA from 1 species